UACGAAGGGUGCAAGCGUUACUCGGAAUUACUGGGCGUAAAGGGUGCGUAGGUGGUUUGUUAAGUCUGCUGUGAAAUCCCCGGGCUCAACCUGGGAAUGGCAGUGGAUACUGGCAAGCUAGAGUGCGGUAGAGGGUAGUGGAAUUCCCGGUGUAGCAGUGAAAUGCGUAGAGAUGUGGAGGAAUACCGAUGGCGAAGGCAAUCCCCUGGGCCUGCACUGACGCUCAUGCACGAAAGCGUGGGGAGCAAACAGG
rnacentral:rRNA from 1 species